rnacentral:antisense_RNA from 1 species
CUCCGAAAUACUCCCCAUCGCCCAAAAGGGCUAUGCGCAACUCCUCGCCGUGAGGCCCUCUGCUGAUGACCUCUGCCUGUCCGUUGGCCACGAUGAAGAACUUCUGUUUGUCCUUGCCCUCCUCAACGAACAGUUGGCCUAUCUCCACCUCUUUCGUCUCAAAUGACCGGGCCAACCUGUUUACAAUCUCGUCUUCGAAAUCCGAGAACAGCGGGAUGGCUUUCAGACUCUUGGCAGAGAAUGACGGCACGCCGUUGAGGUACUGGAUGGGGAGGCGCUCACUCUUGCGAAGUUCCACCUUGGUGCGGUUGACGCGGAAUGUGCCUCCGCUGACUUGCACCCAAGGCAACAGUUUCAACAGCAGUCUCGGGGUGAUGCUGCCCAUCUGAGGGGCGGUUUUGGUUGUUGUCGCCAGUCUUCUGGCGGUGGCAGUGGUC